AUGCAGUGACGGUAUCUGACCAGAAAGUCACGGCUAACUACGUGCCAGCAGCCGCGGUAAUACGUAGGUGGCAAGCGUUGUCCGGAUUUAUUGGGCGUAAAGCGAGCGCAGGCGGUUUUUUAGGUCUGAUGUGAAAGCCUUCCGCUUAACCGGAGAAGUGCAUCGGAAACCGGGAGACUUGAGUGCAGAAGAGGACAGUGGAACUCCAUGUGUAGCGGUGAAAUGCGUAGAUAUAUGGAAGAACACCAGUGGCGAAGGCGGCUGUCUGGUCUGCAACUGACGCUGAGGCUCGAAAGCAUGGGUAGCGAACAGGAUUAGAUACCCUGGUAGUCCAUGCCGUAAACGAUGAGUGCUAAGUGUUGGAGGGUUUCCGCCCUUCAGUGCUGCAGCUAACGCAUUAAGCACUCCGCCUGGGGAGUACGACCGCAAGGUUGAAACUCAAAGGAAUUGACGGGGGCCCGCACAAGCGGUGGAGCAUGUGGUUUAAUUCGAUGCUACGCGAAGAACCUUACCAGGUCUUGACAUCUUCUGCUAACCUAAGAGAUUAGGCGUUCCCUUCGGGGACGGAAUGACAGGUGGUGCAUGGUUGUCGUCAGCUCGUGUCGUGAGAUGUUGGGUUAAGUCCCGCAACGAGCGCAACCCUUAUUGUCAGUUGCCAGCAUUUAGUUGGGCACUCUGGCGAGACUGCCGGUGACAAACCGGAGGAAGGUGGGGAUGACGUCAAAUCAUCAUGCCCCUUAUGACCUGGGCUACACACGUGCUACAAUGGACGGUACAACGAGUCGCGAAACCGCGAGGUCAAGCUAAUCUCUGAAAGCCGUUCUCAGUUCGGAUUGCAGGCUGCAACUCGCCUGCAUGAAGUUGGAAUCGCUAGUAAUCGUGGAUCAGCAUGCCACGGUGAAUACGUUCCCGGGCCUUGUACACACCGCCCGUCACACCAUGAGAGUUUGUAACACCCAAAGCCGGUGAGGUAACCUUCGGGAACCAGCCGUCUAAGGUGGGACAGAUGAUUAGGGUGAAGUCGUAACAAGGUAGCCGUAGGAGAACCUGCGGCUGGAUCACCUCCUUUCAA
rnacentral:rRNA from 1 species